GUAAACAGAUGGAACUCAAAGAGA
rnacentral:siRNA from 1 species